AUUUUUAUAGUUGAAUACAACAGCAGCUUUUCACGCCGCAAGUCUGGGUUAAAACCCCAGUAAAAAUAC
rnacentral:tRNA from 1 species